rnacentral:rRNA from 1 species
GACGAACGCUGGCGGCGUGCUUAACACAUGCAAGUCGAGCGGAAAGGCCACUUCGGUGGUACUCGAGCGGCGAACGGGUGAGUAACACGUGAGUAAUCUGCCCCUGGCUUUGGGAUAGCCACCGGAAACGGUGAUUAAUACCGGAUAUGACCACUUCACGCAUGUGAUGGUGGUGGAAAGUUUUUCGGCCAGGGAUGUGCUCGCGGCCUAUCAGCUUGAUGGUGAGGUAAUGGCCCACCAUGGCUU